rnacentral:rRNA from 1 species
ACGAACGCUGGCGGCGUGCUUAACACAUGCAAGUCGCACGGAAAGGCCUUUUCGGAGGUACUCGAGUGGCGAACGGGUGAGUAACACGUGGGUGAUCUGCCCUGCACUCUGGGAUAAGCCUGGGAAACUGGGUCUAAUACCGGAUAGGACCGCACUUUAGUGUGUGUGGUGGAAAGUUUUUUCGGUGUAGGAUGAGCCCGCGGCCUAUCAGCUUGUUGGUGGGGUAAUGGCCUACCAAGGCGGCGACGGGUAGCCGGACUGAGAGGUUGGUCGGCCACAUUGGGACUGAGAUACGGCCCAGACUCCUACGGGAGGCAGCAGUGGGGAAUAUUGCACAAUGGGCGCAAGCCUGAUGCAGCGACGCCGCGUGGGGGAUGACGGCCUUCGGGUUGUAAACUCCUUUCGCCAGGGACGAAGCGUUUUGUGACGGUACCUGGAGAAGAAGCACCGGCUAACUACGUG